GAGCAGAUGGUGUGAGCUUGCAGGCCAGAAGUGUGUCAGAGGUCUGUAAGUGUCUGCAGCGGUGUGCAAGCAUCUGUAGAAGUCUGCCCAGAGAUCUUAAUUGCUUUGCCCAAACUCAAGCUGGAGAGAUGUGUGGAGCCUCAGCCACAGACCCUGACUGUUGGGGGGAUGCUUUCAUGGCAGAAAGCAGAGCUGUUCGAAACCCAGUUCCUCCUUGCGAGUGGUUCAGAAUUGGAUUCCCUUUGGAAAAUGGGGACAGAGACAUCUCUCUGAAUGAAGAUCAUGGAGGGAAAAGUGAGGUGACUUCAGAACAGAGAAGUGAUAUUUUGGACGAAAAAGCUGAACAGGUCUAUUGAGAAGAAAAUGGAAACUCUGGAGGAAAAAUCUGAGCAAAACAAGAGGACACAGAUGACAUUUUCUAUUCAAAAAAGUGAGUUAGUCUCUAGGGGAUAAAAAUUAAGAUUGUAGGAGGAAAAAGAUGAGGUGAUUAGGUGGGACAGAGCUGACAUUGUGAAUGGAAAAACUUAAUGUACUCCAUAGGGGAGAAAAUUACCAUUUUGGAAGGAAACCUGUCCCUAUGCCUCUGGAAGCCUGGGGACAGACAUAUCCACCCUGAUCACAGGGCAGUUCCCUCCUUGAACCUCCUGCUAGGUGCCGCCACACAGAGUGCUACUUACAGGGUGGCUGCUCUCACCUCAGCACUCGCAAAAACAACUACAAAGCACCAGCCCCUAGGCUCCUGUACUCAGGGGUUGUCACAGCUUUUGUCCUUUGGCCACCCCUGAAGGCCUUUGGUGUCCCGAGUCUUCCCUGAGCCCCCACGCAGUCUGGCGGGGCCAAGUCUGACCCUCUUCUCUCCUGCUCCGGGGUAAGGAUGGCUGUCCCAACAGUGGCUGCCUAGAGCUUGCUCCCUCUCCUGGGAAGAGGUGUGUGUAUGGCCCCCCCUUGCCUCUGUGUGUGCGUGAGCAUGCUUGUCGUUUAGGUUGCUGUGAAAAGUGCUGCAGCUUAGUUUAGGCUUCCCAGGAGGGAAAGAGGGGCUCUGGGCAGUAACAGGGGAGUCUCCUUGGAGUCCCCGAGCAGAGUGGGAGCUCAGCUUGGCCCUCCUUGUCCUCUAGGGACGCAGGGAAGGCCCUGUAGUUGAGGGCCUGGGUCUCUGUCUCAAUGGCAGCCUGUCCUAUUAUCAACGAGGCAGCUCAACAGCCCUGUAGUCAGGGCCUGUGUGAUGAGUUGUGGAGCCCUCUGUUCCCCUCUGUCCCUGUGUGUCCCCAGGAGCAGCCUGAGGUCCCUGUUAGCAGGGCCUAGGAGGCUGUUUUAGGCAGGAAACAGGACUGAGCCUUCCUGGGCCCUUAUUGGGUCGAGGUGGCUCCCUGGGCUUGGGAAGAAGCCUUGUGGUGCCGCAGCCAGGAGAGCCAGCCCGUAAGUUGGGUGCGGGCCGGAGCCCGUGGCUCCGUAGGUGUUUUUGGGAGUGCCGAGGCGAGAGUGGCCGCCCUGUAAGUAGGGCUGUGUGUUGUGGUGCCCGGCGGGAGGUUGGAGGGAACCCCCCUGUCAUCAGGGUGGGUAUGUCUGGCCCCAGGCUUUCAGAGGCAUGUGGCUCCAGGUUCAUUUGGCUUAAGGUGUGCAUCCCAGCCCCUUGCUUGGGGCUGGGGCCUCCCCCCAUGACCCAGGCUCUGCCUGUGAAACCCCACGGCCUGGCUGCUGAGUCUCUUUCCUGUAGCUGCGGGGCUAGGCCAAGCUCUUGACUCUCUGGGCGUUGACCAACCUGUAAGCAGGCCCAGGUCAAAGUACCUUUGCGCUCAGUUGGCAGCCUGUGUGGGGCACUUGCCCCCGCAGCGGGGUGCGGAUCUAGAUGCCCCUGAAAUGGGGAGAAGGAGCCUCCAUGGGCCUGUGGGACCAGGGCUGCCCCGUAGGUCGGGGCCUGCUCAGUGCCCUGGCAUCCCAUGCACUUUUUGAUGCCAGCAGCGACUGCAGCCCUCUGUAAGCAGGAUCGUGCAGCCUCUGCGGCUUCUACUUUGUGUGCCCAGCUGGAUUUGUCCAGUUUUCUCAGUGACUUCUCAUUGUGGUGGUUGAGUUGUAGUCCUUGACCUUGGCAUUGAAGUUGGACAUGGUUUUGAGCUCCCUUCUUUGUGGAAUUUGGGUAUGGUUGGACCCAUGAUCUUGAUAAUUUUUUGUUUGAGAUUGAAAUAAGUCAAUGUGGCUGUGAGAUAAAGCUAAAGCUUUGCUGUACUGUGGGGAUAUAUUUUGCCCAUGCGGCCCUUGACAGUAGUUGCAUCCUU